UUCGGCUACAAAUACUACUUCAACCGUUGAAGACAAACUCUAUAAAAUUGAAAGGAAGGUGGAUAUAAUUUUGAAGUACAUUAAACAAACAAAACAGGUGAUCAAUAUAGAUGAUGAUGAUCUUAUUGACAAAAAAGCUAAAUUCACUACGG